UUUUAUACAUUUUUAUGAAGGUCUGUCCAUUUAGAACAAAAUGUGCAUGCAUGUUUAUGUAGAAAUAAUUGAACACACCCCCGGAUAAGGAUCUUAAAAGCUAUGCUUUAAAGCACAACAUUUCUGUUUAUUUUAAUACAAUAAAUAUUUAAUGUUAAACAAGUUCUAAUUUUCAGUCCGUCUGAACGCAGUGCUUCGCUAUGAGAAGCACUUUCUUUACCAUCUUUAUUGUUUUUUAACAUGUUCUCUUUUGUUAUGUGUUAUUAGGCAUGUUCGACUUCAUGAAGCGCUGCGAGAACCCACAUCAUAUGUUGAUGACGUAAACGUAUCGCGAGACUGAGUCAAGAAAUUACACGUAGAGGUCUAAUUUCGAACCGCUCUCGCGGUACAUUGACGUCAUCAUCCUGUCAGCGCCGCAUGAGGUCGAACACACCUAUUAUUUGCGGGCACGCGCCUCCGUCCUCGUGAGUUAAAAAAACUCAAUUUAACCGAUGUUUACCUCAGACGACAGUUUUCGUUUCUGUGAUAAAUUCUGAGCUAAUUUUCUUGUUGUGUUUGAUCUUUUCCAUUGGCUGAAGAAUGCUGUGACAAAAAAGCAACCAGGACACCACAUCUGCAGUGACAGAGAGCAGGAUGGGGGAGGAAUCAGAAGGACCAGAAGAUAAUAUCAACUGGUGCCCCUGAGGAGAUUCACAUUGUUCUGUUUCUUUUGUUUAGUAAUAAGUGGUUUUAUGUGAUUUUGUAAAAUAAAAGAAAUUCAGUAUUCAA